rnacentral:rRNA from 1 species
UGGCGGCAGGCCUAACACAUGCAAGUCGAACGGUAACAGGAAGACAAGCUUGCUGCUUUGCUGACGAGUGGCGGACGGGUGAGUAAUGUCUGGGAAACUGCCUGAUGGAGGGGGAUAACUACUGGAAACGGUAGCUAAUACCGCAUAACGUCGCAAGACCAAAGAGGGGGACCUUCGGGCCUCUUGCCAUCGGAUGUGCCCAGAUGGGAUUAGCUUGUAGGUGGGGUAACGGCUCACCUAGGCGACGAUCCCUAGCUGGUCUGAGAGGAUGACCAGCCACACUGGAACUGAGACACGGUCCAGACUCCUACGGGAGGCAGCAGUGGGGAAUAUUGCACAAUGGGCGCAAGCCUGAUGCAGCCAUGCCGCGUGUAUGAAGAAGGCCUUCGGGUUGUAAAGUACUUUCAGCGGGGAGGAAGGGAGUAAAGUUAAUACCUUUACUCAUUGACGUUACCCGCAGAAGAGCA